GAUGAACGCUGGCGGCGUGCUUAACACAUGCAAGUCGAACGAAGACAUCUGAGUGCUUGCACUUGGAUGGACUGAGUGGCGGACGGGUGAGUAACGCGUGGGUAACCUGCCUUAUACAGGGGGAUAACAGUUGGAAACGACUGCUAAUACCGCAUAAGCGCACGGUAUCGCAUGAUACAGUGUGAAAAACUCCGGUGGUAUAAGAUGGACCCGCGUCUGAUUAGCUUGUUGGUGAGGUAACGGCCCACCAAGGCGACGAUCAGUAGCCGGCCUGAGAGGGUGAACGGCCACAUUGGGACUGAGACACGGCCCAAACUCCUACGGGAGGCAGCAGUGGGGAAUAUUGCACAAUGGGGGAAACCCUGAUGCAGCGACGCCGCGUGAGUGAUGAAGUAUUUCGGUAUGUAAAACUCUAUCAGCAGGGAAGAUAAUGACGGUACCUGACUAGAAGCACCGGCUAAAUACGUG
rnacentral:rRNA from 1 species